ACGGGUGAGUAACGCGUGGGAAUCUACCCAUCUCUACGGAAUAACGCAUGGAAACGUGUGCUAAUACCGUAUACGUCCUUCGGGAGAAAGAUUUAUCGGAGAUGGAUGAGCCCGCGUUGGAUUAGCUAGUUGGUGGGGUAAAGGCCUACCAAGGCGACGAUCCAUAGCUGGUCUGAGAGGAUGAUCAGCCACACUGGGACUGAGACACGGCCCAGACUCCUACGGGAGGCAGCAGUGGGGAAUAUUGGACAAUGGGCGCAAGCCUGAUCCAGCCAUGCCGCGUGAGUGAUGAAGGCCCUAGGGUUGUAAAGCUCUUUCACCGGUGAAGAUAAUGACGGUAACCGGAGAAGAAGCCCCGGCUAACUUCGUGCCAGCAGCCGCGGUAAUACGAAGGGGGCUAGCGUUGUUCGGAUUUACUGGGCGUAAAGCGCACGUAGGCGGACUAUUAAGUCAGGGGUGAAAUCCCGGGGCUCAACCCCGGAUCUGCCUUUGAUACUGGUAGUCUUGAGUUCGAGAGAGGUGAGUGGAAUUCCGAGUGUAGAGGUGGAAUUCGUAGA
rnacentral:rRNA from 1 species